rnacentral:rRNA from 1 species
GACAGAGGGGGCAAGCGUUGCUCGGAAUCACUGGGCGUAAAGGGCGCGUAGGCGGGAUGGCAAGUCGGUCGUGAAAUCCUUCGGCUCAACCGAAGAACGUCGGCCGAUACUGCCGUUCUUGAGGGAUGCAGAGGAGAUUGGAAUUCCCGGUGUAGCGGUGAAAUGCGUAGAUAUCGGAAGGAACACCAGUGGCGAAGGCGACUUCCUGGCCCAUUACUGACACUGAGGCACGAAAGCGUGGGGAGCGAACAGG